rnacentral:rRNA from 1 species
GACGAACGCUGGCGGCGUGCUUAACACAUGCAAGUCGAGCGAUGAAGUUCCUUCGGGAAUGGAUUAGCGGCGGACGGGUGAGUAACACGUGGGUAACCUGCCUCAUAGAGGGGAAUAGCCUUCCGAAAGGAAGAUUAAUACCGCAUAAGAUUGUAGUGCCGCAUGGCAUAGCAAUUAAAGGAGUAAUCCGCUAUGAGAUGGACCCGCGUCGCAUUAGCUAGUUGGUGAGGUAACGGCUCCCCAAGGCGACGAUGCGUAGCCGACCUGAGAGGGUGAUCGGCCACAUUGGGACUGAAACACGGCCCAGACUCCUACGGGAGGCAGCAGUGGGGAAUAUUGCACAAUGGGGGAAACCCUGAUGCAGCAACGCCGCGUGAGUGAUGAAGGUCUUCGGAUUGUAAAACUCUGUCUUCAGGGACGAUAAUGACGGUACCUGAGGAGGAAGCCACGGCUAACUACGUGCCAGCCGCCGCGGUAAUAC